rnacentral:rRNA from 1 species
AACGAACGCUAGCGGCGUGCUUCAAACAUGCAAGUCGUACGCGAAAGUGACUUCGGUCACGAGUAGAGUGGCGCACGGGUGAGUAACACGUAGUUAACAUUCCCUCUCGCUGGGGAUAACUCCGGGAAACCGGAGCUAAUACCGAAUGAUCUGUCGGGGUCUGCGGACCCUUCCGGUAAAGCCGUAAGGCGCGAGAGGAUUGGGCUGCGUUCCAUUAGCUAGUUGGCGGGGUAACGGCCCACCAAGGCUACGAUGGAUAGCUGGUCUGAGAGGAUGAUCAGCCACACUGGAACUGACACACGGUCCAGACUCCCACGGGAGGCAGCAGUUGGGAAUAUUGGACAAUGGGGGAAACCCUGAUCCAGCGACGCCGCGUGAAUGAUGAAGGCCUUCGGGUCGUAAGCACUUUAUCAGGAACGAAAGACGUUGGAUUAAUACUCUGACGUGCUGACGGUACCUGAGGAAUAAGCACCGGCUAACUUCGUGCCAGCAGCCGCGGU